CUUGUGCGCCACACUGGUUAGUAUUCCCGUCUAUCACGCGGGUGACUCGGGUUCGAUCCCCGGCAACAACG
rnacentral:tRNA from 11 species